ACCUUGGUGGUGUAGUGGCAGCACGCGUCCCCGGAAUGGAUAAAUGCGGGUCCGACUCCCGCCCGAGGUU